CCAGAAGAUAAAGAUCAGUUUGUUUGAGGCUAUUUCCUGCAGCUGGUGCUGCACCCUCCAUCAUCAUGGUCCCAAAGCUUCCCUGGAUGGCAAGGUGCCCACAUCACACCCAGCAUCAGGGUGAACUGUGAUGACGCACUUCGGGGCAAGAGGAGGAAAGCGUGCCCUGAUUCCAGUUGUGGGCCAAAGAUCCCUUCUUUCAUCCCUGCCAGGAACUGCUGUGCUGAGCCACAACCUUGCAAAACCCUGGGCUGUGGAAUUUGCAGCGCUGCUGUGCUGACUUAUGAAGCACCUUUUUCUCCAUGAAGGAGAGGUUUCCCUUGAUUGAAAGUGAUGGCUUAAGCUCACCAGUAUGGUGUUGUAAGAUCACUGAUCACCAUCAUAAGACUGCAAACUAAAAAGCAGGCUAAAAAGCAGACUAAAGUUAAGUUGAUUUAACUCAGAAUUGAAUGUAAACUCUAGUUCCUAAAAAUUUGCACAUAUGUGGGUAAUUUUCAAUGCAGUAGAUAAAAUUUAUAUCCUUUCAUAAUUAAUUUGAUUGUUUCUAUACAACUGUGUUGGAGGACUCUAACAAAUGUGAUACUCAUGCUGUGUGAAUGUCUCAUUCAUGUGCAAGCUGUACCAAUUCAGGGUAACCACCAGUGGGAAUAAAGCACUACCUGCUGACCUGUAAACGUAAAGGGAAAAGAAAACUGAAAAAAAAAAAAAAAAGGAUCAUGUUGGUAAUGCACAUUCCAUUUUAGGAUUAAGGAAAUAGUCACUGGAAAUAAUUGUGUGUGAGUGGACUCCUCCUCUGUUGAUUUGUAUUAGAAGUGUAUGAAUUGUUUCCUUUACACCAUUGAAAUGUAGAGAAAGGAUUUCAAUGCAGACAGUUAAGUUCAUGGUAACAACCCUUAUGUUAAUGUGCAGAGGUGUACGUGGGAGCUGUAUCCUUGUGGCCUGGUCUGUUACAUGGAUCUCUGAGGACAAAAAUAUCAGGAGAUUCAGUGCCACUGAACUUACACACACUAGAAGGGUGGUGGAUUAAAAGUUGAUCCAGUGUUUUCCUUCAGCAUAGAUUGAGUCUCUUCAAGUAAAGCUUCAGGUCACUUCUGGGGCAUCAUUGCAGGUAAAUGGGCACUGUGUUUAUUAGUCUCUAUGUAGAAGGUUUCAGUUUUAAUGAUUGCAAGAUCAAAUAUUUGUCAAAAAGUGAAAAGUGAAGACCGGAGGUAUGUAUUCUAAAGUGAAAGAGGGAGGAGAAUAAUGAGUUUGAAAAGCAUAAAACACAGGCUGGUUAGUGGAAAAGAAUGCUACAAAGGUCUCUGUGUGAAUCUUCAGUUCCUGGAGUUUCUGCCAAUUCCUUUUAUUACUCUUUCAAGUAACCAGGUACAUAUGGCAUGUUUGUAAGUAAAGCAGUCAAUGAAGUUAGUUACACCUCUGCAUUUAUUACCCUACCCCUGAGUAUUAUUAACUUUUACAUUCCCCAUAAAAUAUAAUUUAUCACUUAAAUAAUUUGCUUUGUGUCAGGGUUCAGUGUGCUCCAGUGCUUUCCUGCUCAUUAAAUGAGAUAUUUUUACUUAAUGAGCCCAGAAUGUCCUUUGCAUUUAACAUUAGAAUUGAUUUCAAACACUCCAUUUUUCUAACAUAUUUGUAUGUAAUUUCAGAAUGUGGACUUCAUUCCACAGUCUUACUCUGAAGAAAAAAGAGCCACAAAGAAUAAUGACCCAUGAAUUCCGGAGAGGAACACGAUCCAGUGACAUGCUGGCAGAGCCCAGAGCAGUGCUACGAGCUUGUUUCAUGCUUGCUUACAUUAUUCAGAAGCAUUUUGCAUCUUCACCUGAGUUGGCUGAAGAGGCAUUGUCCAGCCAUCUGUAAAGGCAAGAGUGACAGCUUAUACCACUGAUUUUAAGAGUAGGGGAAGCUGAACAGACACAUAGAGAUGGAUGGGUGAAGUGAAGUAGAAUAUUACUGAAUAAUCUUCAACCUUGAAUGAGGAAAAUGAGAUACAGGAUGCCUAAUGUUUCAUUGACAUCCAUGAAAAGAGACAUGAAAAUAUCCAAAUCUCUCUCACUGGAAAAAACUUAAGGGGACCACAUGCAAAACCACAGCUCCACUGAGCAUGUCCUGGCAGGACAACAGGGAUCCCAUCCGUGCACCUGUCCUUGUGUGGCCAGAGGGAGAGGCUGUGCCUGGUGCAUCAAGAAGAAAAUGAUAUUUGGACUCUGCAUUGAGCUGGGCAAACAUGGGAACGGUGAGCAGUAUUUCAAACGCAUACCUGGAGAUCUGGAUCCAUUCAAGGCCAGGAUGGACAGGAUUUGGAGCAGCCUGAUAUAACUGAAGAUAUCCCUUUAGGGUACUUUCCAACCCAGACCAUUAUGUAAUUUUAUGGUUUAAUUUUGUUCUUGUAAAUUCUGGGAAUUUUGCUUUUUCUAUUAUUUUUCUGAGAAAUGGAGUAAAACAAGAUAGUCUGGCCAAGAGUAUCCAAUAAAUUUCUGCUGAUCUUCUCUUUAAAAGAAUUAGCCCAUGAUAUGAAAUUGAUUUUGCAAAGUUAUGUACACCUAUAAUCUAACACCCCCAGACACACCAAGAAAAAAAUACUCAUGUUAGAAGUUGCACUAGUUUUGCCAUAGCUACUGUUUUGUAGUAGAUGUUACUCAAAAUAAUUUCCCUGACAGUAAUUUUAUUUCUUGGUAAUGAUCUCAAACAAACCUCUUUGAACAAAUCUCAUAAUGAGAUCAAAUCCUGCACAACAGGAGCACUCAGACAUGAGUUGUUAUAUACCUUGUACAUUCUAUCCAGAAAUUAGCAUUUUUACAGUCUGAGCACACCUUCAAAAUCCCCUUGCUCAGGGCUGCAGGGCAGCUGAAAAAAGGUCCAGAAUCAGAUUUUCUGUCCCCAGACCUGAACUGUGUGUACACAAAACCCAGUGUCUCCACCAGCUCCAGGCUGACAUGCUGCUCGUUGCACCAGAGCAGAAUGAAUAAUCUCCAGACAUGAGUUACUGGCACAAUUAAGGCAAGAGCACAGCUGAAUGACAUGGUGAACAAAAGACCCUUGGCAAAGCUUCCACUGCAAAAGCCUAGAGAGGAAAUUCACUCUUGGCGCUGGGUGCUCACAGGUACAAGCAGGACGAACUGCUGAUUAACAAGCUUAGACUCUCAGACCAAAUUCCAAAGGAUGAAAAAUGGCAAUAACAUUCUGUUAUGUCUCUCUACAGCAUGCAAGCAAUUUUUCAUUAAGUUAGAAUCCAUAGGCAACUCCAGCAGUACAUUUUCACAGUCUAAUUGAUACAUAUGAGGCUUGGCUUGCAGCUUUCAAAAGAAGUCAGAAGCACAGAGAAUUCUGUACCAUCCAACAAGAAAAGCAAAGCUCUGUAAUAUUAGUUAUAGGUGCAGUAGAUUUUGAUGUCUCUAACACAGCUGGGUCACUCAAUAAGGCAGGCAGGACACACUUGUGCCUUGGAGGGUGCACAUUGAACUGGGCUGCUGGGGUUUCCUUAUAAAAAUGAACAUGCUGAUCCCUCCAAGAGGGCUUUAGCAGUUUGGGGGCAUGAUUUCUUCUACAACAGUCAGGCCAACCCCUCUCCGAGAAGCAUAUUUUUCUCCACAUUAAUUUUAUUCUUUUUAUAACUUCUACCAGUUUGUUUGCUGCAGCACUUCUGGUUUACUAGUCCCUAGGUCACCUCUAAGCCUUUCUCACAUAUUUUCAUCUUCUUUUUCCUUGGCUGUGGUACUGGGGUCAAUGCAUAUAAUUUAUUACACUGAGCUAUUACUGGGUAUUUCAUAUUUUAGGGAAUCCCCUCUGUUCCAAGAAUAUUAUUUUUUUGACACUUUGAUCUGAUGCAGUCUUGGAGAUACUUUUGGUCUCAUACAGGAACCUCACUGUCCUCCCUUGCUGAUUAUUGAUGCAAAUAGCAUAUUCAGGUUUCCUGCAAAGGCUUUCUCUUCCAGAACAGCUCCUUUCACAUCUCUGUCAUGUGUUGGCACCAUCAGUUCACCAAUUACCUUCUAGAUUGAGGUAAGUGAAUGCAGUUCUUAGGUUUGUAUGUUUAGCAAGUCACUCUUCAAAAUGCUGUGGGCCUGUUUAUGGUGGUUUCAGUGAACUUCUCCAAGUCUAGUCUCUUAUCUACUUUUCUCCACAGAACAGCACUUACUUUUUGAAGGAUGGCUUUUUUUGUCCUGACAACCACGUUCUCUGCCCUUUAGACACGGUAACUACUUUUGAUAUUUGAAGAGACUAUUUAGUGGUACACAUUUAAACUGGACCUUUAUUGUGCCUUUAAGCAGACUCCACAUGGAUUGUGCUAGUUGUGCUUUUUUUUUUUUUUUUUCUUAACUUUGCCAUUUUAAGGUAAAUUGUUGCCAAGCCUGAUAUUUUUUUACUUAUCCACCUGUGAGGAUUUGAAUUUGAGAAUGACAAUGUCAGGACGUAAUUCUUUUCCUUACUCUUAGAAAGUUAGCAGCUUAGCUCUGCUGAAUGUAUGUGACCUGUAAGAGGUACUGGCAUUCAGGUAUGUCAGUCAGUGUCUUAGCUCUCACUCCUCAGGGGAGCUCUUAGAGCAUCUCUGCAGAGCUAAAUGGUUGAUACACACUAGCACACGAUGCUAUCCUCUCCUCUGGCAGCUGUGAGAGAACCCUCCAAGGAACAGCCCAUGGCCAGUGAACGGCUGUGCACAAGUGCACAGUCUCCAUCUGAAGAAGCUGCAGACAAAAAUAUUACUUUGAGUUCCCAACUUUUGAAGUCCUGGGAGAAACAGUAAUUUAGUCCUUUGGUGAACCAAACCGUGCCAGGAGAGGUUUUCUGAACUCCAUGCUUUUAUAUCACUCUUGACCUGCUAGCUGAGUAACACACUGUGGCAUUAUCUGGGUUCUCCAGUGCUUACAGCAAACUGACUUCAUAAUAAAAUCAUUCACAUUCUCCUGUACAACUUCAGAUUUUGCCAGAGUGUUACGUUUCUAAUCAUGAAAAACAUGGCUUGUUUCAGAUGAUAAAGUACCCAUAAAUAAAGACUUCACAGGGGGAGGCUGACAAAUAAACUUUUUAUUUGUUGGGAAUGUAGGGGGAUGUACUUUGUGGUGACAGCACAUUGCUCAGAAGAACAGGUCAUAUGCUGCUUCCUAUUAUACCAGUGUCAACCCAGAGCAUUUCCACUGUCUAUAUUUCAACCAGUUCAACUAAGAUAAAGAUCUCUGCACAGGAUUUCAUAGCCUUUUUGCCACUGUAUAGUAUUAUUAUUAUUAAAAAAAAAAAAAAAAAAAAAAAAAGUACUGUAGGGGUCAAAUUACUUUCAAUAUUGCUUGUGAUAAUAAAAUGCACUACAAAUAGUUUUGUUUCAUCCAUUAAUAAUAAUAAAAGCAUAAAAAAGGCUGAAAUAGAUUCCAGUAAGGUAUAAAGCCCUUCUCUUUCAGCAUUUUGAAAUUUGGGCAUGUGGUACAAGGCAAUGCCUGUCACUGUGACUGUGAUGGGAAGCUAGACACUUCAGGGUAGGCACUGCCAAUUUAGGUUGCAUAAUGAUAAGGAUCAAGUCCUCUGUCCUUAGACUACUUGUACUAAAAAGAAACAAAGAUGAAAUAAUUGAAAGGAUAAUAGAGAGAAGGACUUGGUCAGAAGGACAAGUGAAGAGGUACUCAAAAAGCAUCAUGCCCCGUCCAUGUAUCCAAGAAGGACAAGAAGCAGAGGGGAAGCUCUGUGCAGGGCUGGGCUGGCAGAAUGCACACAGACAGGUCUAAGCCCAGAGUGGCUUCCAGCCUCUUCUGCUGAUCUCUGGACCUGAGUAGGGUACAGGGGCAGAUGUUCCAGGAGCCCUCCCAGCACUGGCAGUGGGGCACUGCUGGCCUGGGCUGGCUGCACUCAGCUGCCAAGGGCUGAGUUCAACUUCCGAUCCUGGAAGUUGUCCUGACCUGGAGAGGAAAAGGAAGUG